rnacentral:rRNA from 1 species
UAAUCAUUUGUUCUUUAAUUAAGGACUUGUAUGAAUGGUUAAACGAAAUAAAACUAUCUAUAAAAUAUUAUAUAAAAAUUAUUUUUAAAGUGAAAAAACUUUAAUAAAAUAAAAAGACAAAAAGACCCUAUAGAGUUUUAUUCAUUAUAAUAAAUAAAUAUAAAUGAAUUUAGUUGGGGCAACUAAUGAAAAAAGAAAUUUCUUUUAGCUAAUUUUAAAUAUAAUCAUUAUCUUAAUAAUUUAAAAUAAAUUACCUUAGGGAUAACAGCGUAACUUUUUUUGAGAGUUCAAAUCGAAAAAAAAAAUUAC